UACGACUACAUAUCAGGCAUAUCAAUAAGCGGAGGAAAAGAAACUAACAAGGAUUCCCCUAGUAACGGCGAGUGAAGCGGGAAGAGCUCAAAUUUGAAAUCUUAAAGGGUUUCCCUUUACGAAUUGUAGUUUAAAGAAGUGUUUUCUGUUGGAGUUUCGGUAAAAGUUCUUUGGAAUAGGACAUCAUAGAGGGUGAGAAUCCCGUAUUUGACCGUUACUUUCCAGCUGUGUGAUACACUUUCAAAGAGUCGGAUUGUUUGGGAAUGCAGUCCAAGAUGGGUGGUAAAUUUCAUCUAAAGCUAAAUAUUGGCGAGAGACCGAUAGCGAACAAGUACCGUGAGGGAAAGAUGAAAAGAACUUUGAAAAGAGAGUUAAACAGUACGUGAAAUUGUCAAAAGGGAAGCGUUUGACACCAGUGUUGUUUAGUUGAAAAUCAAUUCAAUAGUUUUUGAUUCUAAGUAGUAUUGACUUCAUCAGCUUGCUGCUUUCUUCUCAGAAAUUAUUGAAUGCACUUUUCAGUUAACAAGUCAACAUCAAUUUCUUUUGUUGUAAAAGGGUAAGAGGAAGGUGGCUUGCGCUUCGGCUCAAGUGUUUAUAGCCUUUUAUCUCUGCAAUCGGAGAGAUUGAGGUCUGCAGCGUAGAUCCUUCGGGGUUAGAUACAUUGGUGCUAAGCUAUAGCCUUGUAUAGACAACUUGUUGACUAUGCUCAGUCAUGUAGCUUACUCGCUGAUGCUAUUUUACCUACGCUUAGGAUGUUGAGUAGCGACAUACGCAC
rnacentral:rRNA from 1 species